GCGGAUCCGCGGCCGCUGCAGAUCUGGUUGAUUCUGCCGAGGCUCACUGCUAUGGGAGUGGGACUAAGCCAUGCGAGUCUCCCCGCAAGGGGGGCGGACGGCUCAGUAACACGUAGCUAACCUGCCCUCGGGUGGGGGAUAACCUCGGGAAACUGAGGCUAAUACCCCAUAGGAGAUAGGAUCUGGAAGGACCUAUCUCCGAAAGCCUUGUGCGCCCGAGGAUGGGGCUGCGGCGGAUUAGGUUGAUGUUAGGGUAAUUGCCUAACAUGCCUAUAAUCCGUAGGGGCCCUGAGAGGGGGAGCCCCGAGAUGGACUCUGAGACACGAGUCCAGGCCCUACGGGGCGCAGCAGGCGCGAAACCUUCCCCAUGCGCGAAAGCGUGAGGGGGCCACUCCCAGUGCUCCCCAUGUGGGAGCUUUUCCCUGGUGUAAAUAGCCAGGGGAAUAAGGGGUGGGCAAGACCGUUGCCAGCCGCCGCGGUAAUAACGGCGCCCCAAGUGGUGAGCCUCAUUAUUGGGCCUAAAGGGUCCGUAGCCGGGUGUGUAAGUCCUCUGUGAAAUCCUCUAGCAGACUAGAGGGCUUGCAGAGGAUACUACACAUCUUGGGACCGGGAGGGGCCGAGGGUACUCACGGGGUAGGGGUGAAAUCCUUUAAUCCCGUGGGGACCACCUGUGGCGAAGGCGCUCGGCUGGAACGGUUCCGACGGUGAGGGACGAAAGCCAGGGGAGCAAACCGGAUUAGAUACCCGGGUAGUCCUGGCUGUAAACGAUGCUCGCUAGGUACCGGGAGCUCUACGUGGGCUCUCGAUGCCGUAGCGUAGGCGUUAAGCGAGCCGCCUGGGGAGUACGGUCGCAAGGCUGAAACUUAAAGGAAUUGGCGGGGGAGUACACAAGGGGUGGAGUCUGCGGUUCAAUUGGACUCAACGCCGGGAACCUUACCAGGGGCGACAGCAGGAUGAAGGUCAGUCUGAAGGGCUUACCAGACACGCUGAGAGGUAUUGCAUGGCCGACGUCAGCUCGUACCGUGAGGUGUGCCGCUAAGCCGGUUAACGAGCGAGACCCGUGCCCUCUGUUGCUACCAGUAUCUUUUGGUACUGGAGCACUCAGAGGGGACUGCCUCCGUUAAGGAGGAGGAAGGUGCGGGCGACGUUAGGUCAGUAUGUUCCGAAUCCCCUGGGCUACACGCGGGCAACAAUGGCCGGGACAAUGGGAUGCGACCCCGAAAGGGGAAGCCAAUCCUCGAAACCCGGUCUCAGUUCAGAUCGAGGGCUGCAACUCGCCCUCGUGACGCCAGAAUCCCUAGUAGUCGAACGUUAGCACCGUUCGGCGAAUACGUCCCUGCUCCUUGCACACACCGCCCGUCA
rnacentral:rRNA from 1 species